CCAUUGAAGUUUCAGAUCUAAGCUUCAUCGAAGAUUCAGAUCGAAGCGAUUUCGAAGCUCCAUUGAAGUUUCAGAUCUAAGCUUCAUCGAAGGUUCAGAUUGAAGCUCCAUUGAUGCGAUUUCGAAGCUCCAUUGAAGCGAUUUCGAAGAUUCAGAUCUGAACACUGACCCCUCGAUUACUCGCAUUUCAAGUUCCAAUGGUGGCAAAUAGUCUACUUUGUUUCUGAACUGUAAUCGAUGACUGCACACCGUGCCUUCCAGUUCUGCAAGCAAUACAAACGCACAACAGAGUUUCGCAGGCUAUGUGAAAUCAUCAGGAAUCAUUUGGCCAACCUUAAUAAAUACAGAGACCAGAGGGACCGACCUGAUCUAUCAGCUCCAGAAAGCUUGCAAUUGUAUCUUGAUACAAGAUUUGAGCAGUUAAAGAUUGCAACCGAACUUGAACUCUGGCAGGUCUGCGUAUUUGGUUAUGCUUGAGAGUAGAGAAGUGGCACAUGAAUUUCCAUGCUUGAAAGAAAUAUCUGGGAUUUCACAAGACCUGUCAAUUAUG